GGGUUGUGAGGUUAAGCGACUAAGCGUACACGGUGGAUGCCCUGGCAGUCAGAGGCGAUGAAGGGCGUGCUAAUCUGCGAUAAGCGCCGGUAAGGUGAUAUGAACCGUUAUAACCGGCGAUACCCGAAUGGGGAAACCCAGUGUGAUUCGUCACACUAUCAUUAACUGAAUCCAUAGGUUAAUGAGGCGAACCGGGGGAACUGAAACAUCUAAGUACCCCGAGGAAAAGAAAUCAACCGAGAUUCCCCCAGUAGCGGCGAGCGAACGGGGAGGAGCCCAGAGCCUGAAUCAGCAUGUGUGUUAGUGGAAGCGUCUGGAAAGGUGCGCGAUACAGGGUGACAGCCCCGUACACAAAAGCGCAUGUGCUGUGAGCUCGAUGAGUAGGGCGGGACACGUGGUAUCCUGUCUGAAUAUGGGGGGACCAUCCUCCAAGGCUAAAUACUCCUGACUGACCGAUAGUGAACCAGUACCGUGAGGGAAAGGCGAAAAGAACCCCGGCGAGGGGAGUGAAAAAGAACCUGAAACCGUGUACGUACAAGCAGUGGGAGCACAGGUUUACCUGUGUGACUGCGUACCUUUUGUAUAAUGGGUCAGCGACUUAUAUUCUGUAGCAAGGUUAACCGUAUAGGGGAGCCGUAGGGAAACCGAGUCUUAACCGGGCGUUAAGUUGCAGGGUAUAGACCCGAAACCCGGUGAUCUAGCCAUGGGCAGGUUGAAGGUUGGGUAACACUAACUGGAGGACCGAACCGACUAAUGUUGAAAAAUUAGCGGAUGACCUGUGGCU
rnacentral:rRNA from 1 species